AUGUUCAUUAUCGACAGGAUGGUUCAUUGCAGGGAUAACCCGAUGAGACCUUUGUUUUUCUCUUCUUUUGUGCAGCUAAUCCUUGAUGUCAAUGUGAUAGUUUCCAAAGAAGAAGAUUUGACCGAGGCUUUAAAAAUUUUGGAUUGUUGUGGUGUUUCUAAACUAAGGUAUUACAUGGACUCUGCUGGUGACUACUACUACCUUGAGGAAUCUGGAUGA